GAGGAACUCAGCUCCUAUGGGACAGGGAAGCACUGAAGCUAAGGUGCUUGAAGCCACCCUGGACUCAUCAAAGAAGGAGCAUGCCGUUAAAGUGUUCACUAUUGUUUGGUGAAGGAUCUGCAUGGUUAUCCACAGAGACUGUGGAGUGUGGCUCCCCUCCGUAGAAGCACAGAAGGUCGCAUCAAAGCCAUGCUAGCCCUAGCUCUGUCCCAUCCAGGAUCCGUGUUUCAUCAAGAAUGACUGUGAUAAUAAUACAGCCCCUGUUUAAAAGCCUGUUUCAUAAGGUAGAAAAUCAAGACAAUAAGAUGCUGA